AAUGUAUGGCGCCGUUGACUUUUUAUUCAACGUUUGACCAUUCGUCUUAUUUAAAAAAUUUAUGAAAUUAUCAUUUAUAUUAUUGUGACUUGAUUCAUCAUCGAAUGUUCUUUAAGAAGGACAUAAAUAUUUUCAUAUUUGCAUAAAAAUUUUGAAUAAAACGAAUGGUCAAACGUUGGUCGAAAAGUCAACGGCGUCAUACAUU
rfam:Oryza sativa (indica cultivar-group) chromosome 4, whole genome shotgun sequence.